CUUGGUGAUGAUGGCGGAGGGGACACACCCGUACCCAUCCCGAACACGAAGGUUAAGCCCUCCAGCGCCGAUGGUACUUGGACCGCAGGGUCCUGGGAGAGUAGGUCGUUGCCAGGC
rnacentral:rRNA from 1 species